UGGGGAAUUUUCCGCAAUGGGCGCAAGCCUGACGGAGCAAUACCGCGUGAGGGAGGAAGGCUUUUGGGUUGUAAACUGCUUUUGCGUGGGACGAUAACGACGGUACCACGCGAAUCAGCCCCGGCUAACUCUGUGCCAGCAGCCGCGGUAAUACAGAGGGGGCAAGCGUUGUCCGGACUUACUGGGCGUAAAGCGCACGCAGGUGGUAACGCAAGUGGGGUGUGAAAGCCGCCAGCUCAACUGGCGGAGGCCAUCCCAAACUGCGUCACUUGAGGCCUGUAGAGGUAUGUGGAAUUGCCGGUGUAGUGGUGAAAUGCGUAGAGAUCGGCAGGAACACCCAGGGGGAAACCAGCAUACUGGACAGGUCCUGACACUCAGGUGCGACAGCGUGGGGAGCGAACCGGAUUAGAUACCCCCGUAGUCC
rnacentral:rRNA from 1 species